rnacentral:piRNA from 1 species
UGUGGCUGUCUUUACUUUUGCCUUCAGGGA